rnacentral:rRNA from 1 species
ACGCACGCUGGCGGCAUGCCUAACACAUGCAAGUCGAACGAGACCUUCGGGUCUAGUGGCGCACGGGUGCGUAACGCGUGGGAACCUGCCCUUAGGUUCGGAAUAACUCCCCGAAAGGGGUGCUAAUACCGGAUAAUGUCUUCGGACCAAAGAUUUAUCGCCUUUGGAUGGGCCCGCGUUGGAUUAGCUAGUUGGUAGGGUAAAAGCCUACCAAGGCGACGAUCCAUAGCUGGUCUGAGAGGAUGAUCAGCCACACUGGGACUGAGACACGGCCCAGACUCCUACGGGAGGCAGCAGUGGGGAAUAUUGGACAAUGGGCGAAAGCCUGAUCCAGCAAUGCCGCGUGAGUGAUGAAGGCCGUAGGGUUGUAAAGCUCUUUUACCCGGGAUGAUAAUGACGGUACCGGGAGAAUAAGCUCCGGCUAACUCCGUG